rnacentral:snRNA from 1 species
UCCAGCAAUAACCCUGGAGGGAAAAAAAGUUGGAAUUAUACAAACAAGAUUAGCAUGGCUCUGUGCAAAGAUAACUAAAAAAUGCAUGAAUAUUUCAUAUUUCAA